rnacentral:rRNA from 1 species
CCUACGGGAGGCAGCAGUGAGGAAUAUUGGUCAAUGGACGGAAGUCUGAACCAGCCAUGCCGCGUGCAGGAAGACGGCUCUAUGAGUUGUAAACUGCUUUUGUACAAGGGUAAACCUGAAUACGUGUAUUCGGCUGAAAGUACUGUACGAAUAAGGAUCGGCUAACUCCGUGCCAGCAGCCGCGGUAAUACGGAGGAUCCAAGCGUUAUCCGGAUUUAUUGGGUUUAAAGGGUGCGUAGGCGGAUUGAUAAGUUAGAGGUGAAAUGUCCGGGCUUAACUCGGGAACUGCCUCUAAUACUGUUGAUCUAGAGAGUAGGUGCGGUAGGCGGAAUGUAUGGUGUAGCGGUGAAAUGCUUAGAGAUCAUACAGAACACCGAUUGCGAAGGCAGCUUACCAAUCUAUAUCUGACGUUGAGGCACGAAAGCGUGGGGAGCAAACAGGAUUAGAUACCCCUGUAGUC